AGAGGCGAUGAAGGACGUGCUAAUCUGCGAUAAGCGUCGGUAAGGUGAUAUGAACCGUUAUAACCGGCGAUUUCCGAAUGGGGAAACCCAGUGUGAUUCGUCACACUAUCAUUAACUGAAUCCAUAGGUUAAUGAGGCGAACCGGGGGAACUGAAACAUCUAAGUACCCCGAGGAAAAGAAAUCAACCGAGAUUCCCCCAGUAGCGGCGAGCGAACGGGGAGCAGCCCAGAGCCUGAAUCAGUGUGUGUGUUAGUGGAAGCGUCUGGAAAGGCGUGCGAUACAGGGUGACAGCCCCGUACACAAAAAUGCACAUACUGUGAGCUCGAUGAGUAGGGCGGGACACGUGGUAUCCUGUCUGAAUAUGGGGGGACCAUCCUCCAAGGCUAAAUACUCCUGACUGACCGAUAGUGAACCAGUACCGUGAGGGAAAGGCGAAAAGAACCCCGGCGAGGGGAGUGAAAAAGAACCUGAAACCGUGUACGUACAAGCAGUGGGAGCACGCUUAGGCGUGUGACUGCGUACCUUUUGUAUAAUGGGUCAGCGACUUAUAUUCUGUAGCAAGGUUAACCGAAUAGGGGAGCCGAAGGGAAACCGAGUCUUAACUGGGCGUUAAGUUGCAGGGUAUAGACCCGAAACCCGGUGAUCUAGCCAUGGGCAGGUUGAAGGUUGGGUAACACUAACUGGAGGACCGAACCGACUAAUGUUGAAAAAUUAGCGGAUGACUUGUGGCUGGGGGUGAAAGGCCAAUCAAACCGGGAGAUAGCUGGUUCUCCCCGAAAGCUAUUUAGGUAGCGCCUCGUGAAUUCAUCUCCGGGGGUAGAGCACUGUUUCGGCAAGGGGGUCAUCCCGACUUACCAACCCGAUGCAAACUGCGAAUACCGGAGAAUGUUAUUACGGGAGACACACGGCGGGUGCUAACGUCCGUCGUGAAGAGGGAAACAACCCAGACCGCCAGCUAAGGUCCCAAAGUCAUGGUUAAGUGGGAAACGAUGUGGGAAGGCCCAGACAGCCAGGAUGUUGGCUUAGAAGCAGCCAUCAUUUAAAGAAAGCGUAAUAGCUCACUGGUCGAGUCGGCCUGCGCGGAAGAUGUAACGGGGCUAAACCAUGCACCGAAGCUGCGGCAGCGACGCUUAUGCGUUGUUGGGUAGGGGAGCGUUCUGUAAGCCUGUGAAGGUGUGCUGUGAGGUAUGCUGGAGGUAUCAGAAGUGCGAAUGCUGACAUAAGUAACGAUAAAGCGGGUGAAAAGCCCGCUCGCCGGAAGACCAAGGGUUCCUGUCCAACGUUAAUCGGGGCAGGGUGAGUCGACCCCUAAGGCGAGGCCGAAAGGCGUAGUCGAUGGGAAACAGGUUAAUAUUCCUGUACUUGGUGUUACUGCGAAGGGGGGACGGAGAAGGCUAUGUUGGCCGGGCGACGGUUGUCCCGGUUUAAGCGUGUAGGCUGGUUUUCCAGGCAAAUCCGGAAAAUCAAGGCCGAGGCGUGAUGACGAGGCACUACGGUGCUGAAGCAACAAAUGCCCUGCUUCCAGGAAAAGCCUCUAAGCAUCAGGUAACAUCAAAUCGUACCCCAAACCGACACAGGUGGUCAGGUAGAGAAUACCAAGGCGCUUGAGAGAACUCGGGUGAAGGAACUAGGCAAAAUGGUGCCGUAACUUCGGGAGAAGGCACGCUGAUACGUAGGUGAAGCGACUUGCUCGUGGAGCUGAAAUCAGUCGAAGAUACCAGCUGGCUGCAACUGUUUAUUAAAAACACAGCACUGUGCAAACACGAAAGUGGACGUAUACGGUGUGACGCCUGCCCGGUGCCGGAAGGUUAAUUGAUGGGGUUAGCGCAAGCGAAGCUCUUGAUCGAAGCCCCGGUAAACGGCGGCCGUAACUAUAACGGUCCUAAGGUAGCGAAAUUCCUUGUCGGGUAAGUUCCGACCUGCACGAAUGGCGUAAUGAUGGCCAGGCUGUCUCCACCCGAGACUCAGUGAAAUUGAACUCGCUGUGAAGAUGCAGUGUACCCGCGGCAAGACGGAAAGACCCCGUGAACCUUUACUAUAGCUUGACACUGAACAUUGAGCCUUGAUGUGUAGGAUAGGUGGGAGGCUUUGAAGUGUGGACGCCAGUCUGCAUGGAGCCGACCUUGAAAUACCACCCUUUAAUGUUUGAUGUUCUAACGUGGACCCGUGAUCCGGGUUGCGGACAGUGUCUGGUGGGUAGUUUGACUGGGGCGGUCUCCUCCUAAAGAGUAACGGAGGAGCACGAAGGUUGGCUAAUCCUGGUCGGACAUCAGGAGGUUAGUGCAAUGGCAUAAGCCAGCUUGACUGCGAGCGUGACGGCGCGAGCAGGUGCGAAAGCAGGUCAUAGUGAUCCGGUGGUUCUGAAUGGAAGGGCCAUCGCUCAACGGAUAAAAGGUACUCCGGGGAUAACAGGCUGAUACCGCCCAAGAGUUCAUAUCGACGGCGGUGUUUGGCACCUCGAUGUCGGCUCAUCACAUCCUGGGGCUGAAGUAGGUCCCAAGGGUAUGGCUGUUCGCCAUUUAAAGUGGUACGCGAGCUGGGUUUAGAACGUCGUGAGACAGUUCGGUCCCUAUCUGCCGUGGGCGCUGGAGAACUGAGGGGGGCUGCUCCUAGUACGAGAGGACCGGAGUGGACGCAUCACUGGUGUUCGGGUUGUCAUGCCAAUGGCACUGCCCGGUAGCUAAAUGCGGAAGAGAUAAGUGCUGAAAGCAUCUAAGCACGAAACUUGCCCCGAGAUGAGUUCUCCCUGACCCUUUAAGGGUCCUGAAGGAACGUUGAAGACGACGACGUUGAUAGGCCGGGUGUGUAAGCGCAGCGAUGCGUUGAGCUAACCGGUACUAAUGAACCGUGAGGCUUAACCUU
rnacentral:rRNA from 1 species